UGUGCCUAACACAUGCAAGUCGCGCAGAGUAAGAAGGGGGGCAACUCCCUGAAGUAAAGCGGCAAACGGGUGAGUACCACGUAGGUAACCUACCCUCGAGUCCAGGAUAACCCGCCGAAAGGUGGGCUAAUACCGGAUAUGACCACGGGAACCUCGGUUCCUGCGGUGAAAGGUGGCCUCUGCUUGCAAGCUACCGCUCGAAGAUGGGCCUGCGCGCCAUUAGCUAGUUGGUGGGGUAACGGCCCACCAAGGCGAUGAUGGCUAGCUGGUCUGAGAGGAUGGCCAGCCACACUGGGACUGAAACACGGCCCAGACUCCUACGGGAGGCAGCAGUGGGGGAUAUUGCGCAAUGGGGGAAACCCUGACGCAGCGACGCCGCGUGAGCGAUGAAGGCCUUCGGGUUGUAAAGCUCUGUCUUUGGGGAAGAAGGCUUCCCCUGCGAACAGCGGGAGGAGAUGACGGUACCCGAGGAGGAAGCCCCGGCUAACUACGUGCCAGCAGCCGCGGUAAUACGUAGGGGGCGAGCGUUGUCCGGAAUCACUGGGCGUAAAGGGCGCGUAGGCGGCUCGCCAAGUCAGAUGUGAAACGCCACGGCUCAACCGUGGAGCUGCAUAUGAAACUGGCGGGCUUGAGGGCAGGAGAGGGGAGCGGAAUUCCCGGUGUAGCGGUGAAAUGCGUAGAGAUCUGGAGGAAUACCGGUGGCGAAGGCGGCCCCCUGGACAAAGACUGACGCUCAGGUGCGAAAGCGUGGGGAGCAAACAGGAUUAGAUACCCUGGUAGUCCACGCCGUAAACGAUGUCGACUUGGAGGUUGUGCCCUUGAGGCGUGGCUUCCGGAGCUAACGCGUUAAGUCGACCGCCUGGGGAGUACGGCCGCAAGGUUAAAACUCAAAUGAAUUGACGGGGGCCCGCACAAGCGGUGGAGCAUGUGGUUUAAUUCGAUGCAACGCGAAGAACCUUACCUACUCUUGACAUCCAGAGAACUUUCCAGAGAUGGAUUGGUGCCUUCGGGAACUCUGAGACAGGUGCUGCAUGGCUGUCGUCAGCUCGUGUUGUGAAAUGUUGGGUUAAGUCCCGCAACGAGCGCAACCCUUAUCCUUUGUUGCCAGCGGUUAGGCCGGGAACUCAAAGGAGACUGCCAGUGAUAAACUGGAGGAAGGUGGGGAUGACGUCAAGUCAUCAUGGCCCUUACGAGUAGGGCUACACACGUGCUACAAUGGCGCAUACAAAGAGAAGCGACCUCGCGAGAGCAAGCGGACCUCAUAAAGUGCGUCGUAGUCCGGAUUGGAGUCUGCAACUCGACUCCAUGAAGUCGGAAUCGCUAGUAAUCGUGGAUCAGAAUGCCACGGUGAAACGUACCCGGC
rnacentral:rRNA from 1 species